CCUUUUCAAUAGACACUGCAAAAGCUGCUGCACAUUGUCAGAAAGUACUGUUUAAUUAAACCACAGUGACAGGAAAAGCCACCUACAAACACAAAGCUUAAUAAACCCACAUGCAUGAGAACUACUCUCCCUCACAGGCAGUGAAGGAGAUCAACCCUUUGAAAUCAGGGCUAAAAGGACACAGUGGACAGGUCCUGCCUCAUACACCUCUAGAUUAUAAGCUAUGAUCCAACAGCAUUGCUACUGAUUCAAAGCUAAAUUUGAGGCCAAGGGAGAGUAGUUCUAAACAGAAGGAUUGAACAACAUGACUUGAAGAUCUGUUUGAAACAGUCCAGAGGGUUGGAAUGCCUGCAAUUGUCCUGCAGACGAAAGAGUGCAGACCAGCACUUUGAAUAUUUGAUAAUUAAGAAGAGUAUUUCUUGCCUUGAACUCCAAAGCUGAAGAGCCAAAAAUCUUUUUCAUUUCAGAAGCGUAAAGAUGGAAGAAAAAAAAAUUACACAAGGAAUCUAGAAGAGUGGCUCUGAUACUACAAAACCUGGAAGGACCAGUCCGACUCUCUUCACUAGCUGAGCACCCUGGCAACCACUUGUGACUCUGGACAUUUGCACAUUGCUCUUAGCUUCCACAUGUCUGGCAUUUCUCUUUUCCUCCUAUAUCUUAACUUUAACUAAACUGGAGAAUAGAUUGCUGCAUCAGUCUGAGCUGGAAAUCAAAUUUGUCUUGGGAAAUUGUAUAUUAUCACAGAAGACCCAUAAUUAGGGGACUAUAUGGCUGCAGCUGGGGCAGUGUCUUCCUCAAUAGCAAAGUAAGAAAGAUAAAAGAGACGGUACCAUGGGAUAUAUAAAACUGCAGGACAGCAAUUUGGAUUUUCAGGAUAGAAAGGGGCAUCGUGGCUCUUGGUCCCAGGCAGAUCAGGACUACAAAAAGACAGCAGUAAAACCUGCAGCCCCAGAAUCUUCUCUUCCUCCCUUUUUUUCACCAAAGGGGUAUGAAAACCAGCAUUAGAGUGUUCUGCCCUCUUCUCCAUCAGAACAAGGGUGAGGGAUUCCUUAAGGAGAUAUUACAUUUUUAUACCCAUUUUUCAACUAUACUGAUUGGCACAUACACAUUUUUUCUCUGUAGAGAAGGACCUGGGUUUUCAGGUGAAAACAGGUUGGCCAUAAGUCAGCAGUGUGCCCUUGUGGCCAAAAAAGCUGAUGGUAUCCUGGGGAGCAUUAAAGAGUGUGGCCAGCAGGUUGAUGGAAGUGAUCCUUCCCUUCUAUUCUGCCCUGGUGAGGCCACACUUGGAGUACUGUGUCUAAUUCUGGGUUGCUCAGUUCUGACCCUUUAGAACCUUUAGGAUCUCUAGGAUCUCCUACAAAAAGUCCAGAAGACUGCGACAAGGUUGAUGGGGGGCCUGGAGCAUCUUCUGUAUGGGAAAAUGCUGAGAGACUUGGAACUUUUCAGUUUGGAGGAGACUGAGAGGAGAUCUCAUAACUCCUUGUCUAAAGUGUAGGAGUUAAGGCAGUGUUGAUGAACUCUUUUCAGUGCUGUGCAACAAUAGAACAGGAGGCAACAGGCAGAAACUGAAAAACAGAAAGCUUCAUCUGAACAUGAGAAAGAACUUCCUACUUAGAGGAUGACAGAGCACUGGAGAAGGUUGCUCAGAGUGGAUGUGGAGUCACCUUCUCUGGAGAUAUUCAAAAGUCACCUGGUCACUUUCCUGUGUAACCUAUCGUAGAAAACCAGCUUUAUCAAGGAAUUGGAUCUGAUCAUCUCCGGAGGUCCCAUCCAACCCCUACAAUUCUAUGUUUCUGUGACUCUGAUGUGUUGCUAGGUAACCUUCAGAUCUUUUACAUUAACCUUAUUUUUCAUGCUUUGAAAUUAACAUUUGUCAGCUAGAAUUUCCUCUCAUAUACCAUCAGCCCACCUAGGCUGUACACCUCUACUCAGAGCACGUGGGAGAUUUAUUCUACACCUGUGAUUUGGCUAUAUUUAAAAAAUAAAUCUGAUUAUUUUUCAUCACUGAGCAACUUCUCAGAGAUACUUAAAAAUGUAGCUGCUGUAUUUUAAUGAUUAUUGUUUCUUAAUAGGAGUAGCCAGCUUAUGUAGAGCUUAAACAAUUUUGUCAUCCCUUUCAUAACUUGUUUCAGUGUCAGUGGCUUAAAAACUAUGCCUCUGGUAUUACAUUGUGCCCAACCAGUGCAACAGGUUCCUAUGCAGGUUCAUAGAGCUUUUAAUUUUUAUUCCCUUUUCUAGAUUUACUUUGCUGCACUUUCGCUGCUCCUUUAGGGUUCCAAAGAGUCUUCAUUUCUUUGACUCGACAGUAAGGAAUGUUGGUGCUGCCUGGAGGAUGCUGUAGUUCCUUCUUGACACACAAUGGCAUGAAGACCUGGAAGUGGAAGAGUUAACUGACAUAUGGCUUGUCUUUGAAGGUUAAAUGUCAGAGAAUAUGAAAUGCUGACAUGACAUUUGGCUAUUCUUGCUCAUCUUCAUUCCACUCCUGACUUUCAAAGUCAGAGGAACUUAAAAUCUCACAAUGAAAUGAUUAAUUUUAUACAGAAAGAUCACAGGCAGAUUCUUACGAGUACAUAGAGCAAAGGUAAAGUGCAAAGCUAAAAUCCUUCCUAUUUAGGUAUAACCAGUACGCAGGAUGGAGUACUUUGAUCCUAAGAACUUUUUCUAGAUUAUCAUGACUCAACAUAUUAGAUGCAUACAGUCCAGGCUAAGCAAUUCUAGAUUCAGUGUGGUACAUUCUUAACCCAUAAUUUUUAAUAAUUUCUAGAUCAAAAUAUAAACUGACUUAAAUCCAUUCCAUUCUGUUUGCAAGAUUUUGGGGGCCAUGAAUUCAGUGAUGGCUGUUGGCAACAGAGAGUGAAGUAUAUGCCUAAACACAACCUAAAAAACAUCCUUCUAAAUAUUUCUGGCCACUUCACUUGAAGUCUUUAAGUAAGAAGAUUUACAUAUAGAUAUUUAUGUGUUUGUUUUUAUUAUUAAAGAAACUGGACCACUGAUUUAUCCUAGUAUACAGCAAAGAUCUGAUAUUACUAAGCUACGUAACAAAACAUAUGAUCGUAUCUCUUUUCACCUUUUCAAUAUUAUAACAGAACUCUCAUUUUAAGUGUUGAAAAUACAUUGCAUUGUAUUGCCACACUCAAGAAGACACUAAAAUACAAUAGUUCUUGAAAAAAUUACUGUAACAUUUUUCGAUUUGUAUAAAAUAGAUGGGUGUUUUGCUUCUACAUGUUGCAAAUGUUUGUCAUUAUCUAAAAUAAUUACCAUGACUGAUUAUCUUCCACAGGCAUAAAACAAAAAUUGUGUUUGGUCAAUGUGAGUAUGAAAAAUUACAGGAAAAAAAGGGAAGUGUAAG